rnacentral:snRNA from 1 species
AAAGAAGCUGAUGAUUUCUUCUUU